CCUACGGGUGGCAGCAGUGGGGGAUAUUGCACAAUGGGGGAAACCCUGAUGCAGCGACGCCGCGUGUGGGAAGACGGUCCUCUGGAUUGUAAACCACUGUCCCCAGGGACGAAGAUGACGGUACCUGGGGAGGAAGCUCCGGCUAACUACGUGCCAGCAGCCGCGGUAAUACGUAGGGAGCGAGCGUUGUCCGGAAUUACUGGGUGUAAAGGGAGCGUAGGCGGGGAUGCAAGUUGGGUGUCAAAACUACCGGCUCAACUGGUAGUCGCACUCAAAACUGAAGCUCUUGAGUGAAGUAGAGGCAGGCGGAAUUCCGAGUGUAGGGGUGAAAUGCGUAGAUAUGAGGAGGAACACCAGUGGCGAAGGGGGCAGGCUGGGCUUUUACUGACGCGGAGGCUCGAAGGUGUGGGGAGCAAACGGGAGUAGAGACCCGGGGAGUC
rnacentral:rRNA from 1 species